AUCGUCUUAUUACCUCCGCCAGGAGGUUAUGUAAUCAUCUGGGUUUGUAUGUGUGUGUGUGUGUGUGUGUGUGUGUGUGUGUGUGUGUGUGUGUGUGUGUGUGUGUGUGUGUGUGUGUGUGUAUGUGUGUGUGUGUGUGUGUGUGUGUAUGUGUGUGUGUAUGUGUGUGUGUUUGUCUGUGAGCACGAUAACUCAAGAAAUACCAAACAUAUCCGUACGAAAUUUUUUGAAUGCAUUUCCCAUCGGCUAAGGAAGAACUGAUUAAAAUUUGGUUGAAUUUGGUUAAAAAUUGAACGAG